UACGUAGGGUGCUAGCGUUGUUCGGAAUCAUUGGGCGUAAAGCGCGUGUAGGCUGCUCUGUGUGUCGGAUGUGAAAGCCCCGGGCUCAACCUGGGAAGUGCACUCGAAACUACAGAGCUGGAGUCUCGGAGAGGAUCGCGGAAUUCUCGGUGUAGAGGUGAAAUUCGUAGAUAUCGAGAGGAACACCGGUGGCGAAGGCGGCGACCUGGUCCGUGACUGACGCUGAGGCGCGAAAGCGUGGGGAGCAAACAGG
rnacentral:rRNA from 1 species